CUGGGCACUCUAAAGGGACUGCCGGUGUUAAACCGGAGGAAGGUGGGGAGUGACGUCAAGUCCUCAUGGCCUUUAUGGCCAGGGCUACACACGUACUACAAUGGCCGAUACAAAGGGCAGCGACACUGCGAGGUGAAGCCAAUCCCGUAAAAUCGGUCUCAGUCCGGAUUGGAGUCUGCAACUCGACUCCAUGAAGUUGGAAUCGCUAGUAAUCGUGGAUCAGCAUGCCACGGUGAAUACGUUCCCGGGCCUU
rnacentral:rRNA from 1 species